rnacentral:rRNA from 1 species
CCUACGGGCGGCUGCAGUGGGGAAUAUUGGACAAUGGGGGGAACCCUGAUCCAGCCAUGCCGCGUGUGUGAAGAAGGCCCUCGGGUUGUAAAGCACUUUCAGUGAGGAAGAACGCCUGGUGGUUAAUACCCAUCAGGAAAGACAUCACUCACAGAAGAAGCACCGGCUAACUCCGUGCCAGCAGCCGCGGUAAUACGGAGGGUGCGAGCGUUAAUCGGAAUUACUGGGCGUAAAGCGCGCGUAGGUGGCUUGAUAAGCCGGUUGUGAAAGCCCCGGGCUCAACCUGGGAACGGCAUCCGGAACUGUCAAGCUAGAGUGCAGGAGAGGAAGGUAGAAUUCCCGGUGUAGCGGUGAAAUGCGUAGAGAUCGGGAGGAAUAGCAGUGGCGAAGGCGGCCUUCUGGACUGACACUGACACUGAGGUGCGAAAGCGUGGGUAGCAAACAGGAUUAGAUACCCUAGUAGUC